rnacentral:rRNA from 1 species
AGUGAACGCUGGCGGUAGGCCUAACACAUGCAAGUCGAACGGCAGCACAGUAAGAGCUUGCUCUUACGGGUGGCGAGUGGCGGACGGGUGAGGAAUACAUCGGAAUCUACUUUUUCGUGGGGGAUAACGUAGGGAAACUUACGCUAAUACCGCAUACGACCUACGGGUGAAAGCAGGGGAUCUUCGGACCUUGCGCGAUUGAAUGAGCCGAUGUCGGAUUAGCUAGUUGGCGGGGUAAAGGCACACCAAGGCGACGAUGCGUAGCUGAUCUGAGAGGAUGAGCGGCCACACUGGAACUGAGACACGGUCCAGACGCCUACGGGAGGCAGCAGUAGGGAAGCUGCCGCAAUGGGCGAAAGCCUGACGGAGCAACGGCGCGUGAGUGAUGAAGGUCUUCGGAUCGUAAACCUCUGUUAUUAGGGAAGAACAAAUGUGUAAGUAACUAUGCACGUCUUGACGGUACCUAAUCAGAAAGCCACGGCUAACUACGUG